rfam:Hordeum vulgare subsp. vulgare, WGS project CAJW01000000 data, contig: morex_contig_67903
UUUUUUCUAUGAUGAAUUUCAAAGACGGUAUCUGACAAAGGUGGCUCCUUGAUGAGUCUCCUUGCUUGAUUAGACAUCUUAAACUGAUCAAAUAUUCUUAGCAAAUU